rnacentral:rRNA from 1 species
UGGAUGAUGUGGAUUAAUUCGAUGCAACGCGAAAAACCUUACCUACCCUUGACAUGUCUGGAACCUUGGUGAGAGCCGAGGGUGCCUUCGGGAGCCAGAACACAGGUGCUGCAUGGCUGUCGUCAGCUCGUGUCGUGAGAUGUUGGGUUAAGUCCCGCAACGAGCGCAACCCUUGUCACUAGUUGCCAUCAUUUAGUUGGGCACUCUAGUGAGACUGCCGGUGACGAGCCGGAGGAAGUGGGGAUGACGUCAAGUCCUCAUGGCCCUUAUAGGUGGGGCUACACACGUCAUACAAUGGCUGGUACAAAGGGUUGCCAACCCGCGAGGGGGAGCCAAUCCCAUAAAGCCAGUCGUAGUCCGGAUCGUAGUCUGCAACUCGACUACGUGAAGUCGGAAUCGCUAGUAAUCGUGGAUCAGAAUGUCACGGUGAAUACGUUCCCGGGUCUU